GCGGAGGCAUCUUUUUGGGGCUGACGGGCUUCACCUCAACUCGCGGGGCUGCCGUCUUCUGUCCGCCAAUUUGGCAUUUGGUGUACAGCACUCCUGCUCCCAGCCCACUCAUUACACCAAACCCACUGCACCUGCUGACCUGUCCGUCAUGGAUUGAUGCCCCCCUGGUCCCAGCUCCUACUUACUCAGUUCCACUUUUAACAGCAAAGCUCGCAAUACUGGACUUGGACCUAACAUUCCUCCAAACAGUUCAUCAAUUCAUGUCAUCAUCACAUUCAGAGAGCAACCACACCACCACAAACCAUAUCAUACCGUAAACAUCAAUAAUCUCAGGCCUCUUCCAAAAUUUUUUGAAGGACCAGACAG